AGGGGGCUCCUCGCAGAGGGGCGCACGGCCAGUUCGCCUGUACAGAAAGUCCUAGGCUGCAGGAUAAAGCCUUGAGUCGCUUUGUGGUGCAGUUUUACCCAUUCAAGCACCCAUUCAAGGUGCUUUCUGGGGAUCCAAUCCGGAAUCACUGCAGAGGGGGCCUGGAUUGUAAACCAGAUUGCAACACGCAGGCAACACAUCUAUGGAAAGGGGCAACGUGUAUAGGAUGCUGACAGUGGACCGGGCCUGUGCAAGCAAGGUCCUAUAGAGUGGUCGACUCAUAGAUUCAGCUUCGGCUGAAGAGACUGACUGCCUCAAACGAUGAACAUAGACAUGUGGAACAGUGGACAAAAUCGUUCCUUUUUUAUACGUAAAUGUGGAACAGAGCUACCGUUUAGAGGCUAGCAAACUUAAGUUAAAGGACUGCUUUGGUUGGGAUGCUGAAGACUAGGACAGAGUACAACUGAUUGCUUAUUUUAUCUACGUUGUAAUACGAAUCAACUUCAUUUGGCAUAAUGUUUUAAAUCCAUUAUAUGUCAUACUAUUAUUCAAUAAGAAACCAGCAUUUUAUACUGUGGCCUUAGAUGAUAUUUGACAGUAUUUCUGUGUUUCAAACAAGUGUCUUUAUUUGAUUAUUUGAGGUUGUUUAUAAUGUCAUUUAAUUCAAGUGAACACAUAUAUUUAAAUUUACUGAUAUUGUAGUCAGUUGACUUUGCCACUGAAAGAAAAAAAUUGAUACAACUAGUUAUUUGUUAAAAUAGAAAGCAG